GUGAUCGAACGCUAGCGGCAGGCUUAACACAUGCAAGUCGAGGGGUAGGGCAGCAAUGCUUGAGACCGGCGCACGGGUGCGUAACGCGUAUGCAAUCUACCUUUUGCAGAGGGAUAGCCCAGAGAAAUUUGGAUUAAUACCUCAUAGUAUAAUGAAUUCGCAUGGAUUUAUUAUUAAAGUAACAACGGCAAAAGAUGAGCAUGCGUCCCAUUAGCUAGAUGGUAAGGUAACGGCUUACCAUGGCGACGAUGGGUAGGGGUCCUGAGAGGGAGAUCCCCCACACUGGUACUGAGACACGGACCAGACUCCUACGGGAGGCAGCAGUGAGGAAUAUUGGACAAUGGGCGCAAGCCUGAUCCAGCCAUGCCGCGUGCAGGAUGACGGUCCUAUGGAUUGUAAACUGCUUUUGUACAGGAAGAAACCCUCGGACGUGUCCGAGAUUGACGGUACUGUAAGAAUAAGGAUCGGCUAACUCCGUGCCAGCAGCCGCGGUAAUACGGAGGAUCCAAGCGUUAUCCGGAAUCAUUGGGUUUAAAGGGUCCGUAGGCGGUUUAGUAAGUCAGUGGUGAAAGCCCAUCGCUCAACGGUGGAACGGCCAUUGAUACUGCUAGACUUGAAUUAUAAGGAAGUAACUAGAAUAUGUAGUGUAGCGGUGAAAUGCUUAGAUAUUACAUGGAAUACCAAUUGCGAAGGCAGGUUACUACUUAUGGAUUGACGCUGAUGGACGAAAGCGUGGGUAGCGAACAGGAUUAGAUACCCCUGGUAGUCCACGCCGUAAACGAUGGAUACUAGCUAUUGGGAG
rnacentral:rRNA from 1 species